rnacentral:rRNA from 1 species
CCUACGGGUGGCUGCAGUAGGGAAUUUUCGGCAAUGGGGGGAACCCUGACCGAGCAACGCCGCGUGAACGAAGAAGUUAUUCGUAAUGUAAAGUUCUUUUAACAGGGAAGAAAGAGAAAUUUGACGGUACCUGAAGAAUAAGCUCCGGCUAACUACGUGCCAGCAGCCGCGGUAAUACGUAGGGAGCGAGCGUUAUCCGGAAUUAUUGGGCGUAAAGGGUGCGUAGGCCGGCUUUUAAGUCAGCUGUGAAAGUCCGCGGCUCAACCGUGGAAUUGCAGUUGAAACUGGAGGCCUUGAGUGCACACAGGGAUGCCGGAAUUCAUGGUGUAGCGGUGAAAUGCUUAGAUAUCAUGAAGAACUCCGAUCGCGAAGGCAAGUGUCCGGGGUGCAACUGACGCUGAGGCUCGAAAGUGCGGGUAUCAAACAGGAUUAGAUACCCGUGUAGUC